GGCUGAUGCAGGCAGCACCCUUCUGUAGAAGUAGUUGCCUUACUGAGAAAACUUUUUGCCUGAGUGCUGGUUCUUCUUUUCGGCACCGAGCACUUGUUUCUAACAGAGACAUGUGCCACCACGCCCGGUUAAUUUUUCUAUUUUUAGUAGAGACGGGAUUCUGCCCUGUUGGCCAGGCUGGUCUGAAACUCCUGACCUCAAGUGAUUUGCCCACCUCGGCCUCCCAAAGUGCUGGAUUACAGGGUUAGCCACAACGCCCAGCCAUAUUUAAUUUUAAUAUGUAUUAUCUUUAGAAUAAUUUCUUUUUUGAAAAUCUUUUGGAGUGUUUUACUUUCUUUCUUGCCCUUGAAACCUGGCAUAUAGCAGGUGCUCAACAAAUAUUGAAGGAAGGAAUGAGGGUGAGAGAGAGCAGCGGUUUUCCAAGGGCCCGCACAGGAAAGAGACAGAAGGGCUCCAGUUGUCUUCUGUAACUGCCCCCAGCAGCUUCAGGCUCCAGGCAGGGAGCAAGGAAGCUAUCAGUACCUGGCAAUAUCAGAUUCUGUGCUGCGCCCCACCACCAUGAUGUCAACUCUAUGGAUGCUUUUGUCUUUUUUUGGCCUUGGGAGGGACCCCGUGGCAGAGGCUGCAGAGACCAGACUGGGGGCUUGAAGCAGGCCCCUUCGAGGCUACUUUCUCAGACCUCUGCUCUCAGAUGCUUUUACUCUCCCCAACUCUUAAGGAUCCUUCAGAGUACUGCAAGUACUGCUCUGAAUCACAAAACGUCAGAUUGAAACCCCAAGGGUGAUGCUCCACAAAUACAGACCUUGAGGUCCCUGUGCAUCAGUCCUUUACUGUGAAGAAACUCCACUGCCUCUGCGAUCUGCAGGAAGAUGUGCAGACACACGCUCCUCUCUCUCUCCUCUAUGGUACAUCGUCCAUUCAUCCAGUCUUUGAGGUUUUCUUUUCUGCACAGCUGCAUUUGAAUGUAAAGAUACACCUUUGGUGAACUGGGCUGGAGUUUUUCUGUGGUGUUUUUAGUGAGAUCUAAACUUAAAGUGGUUGGUCUUGGAGGAGAAAUAGACAAUGUAGCUUCAGAAGAAGAUUUGCUACUGGUGGGCUUGAAAGCAGUUAGUUUAUUAGCACAAUGGUUGCCAAUAUGCAAUCGAUUAGUUUUCGGCUCUUCUUUACUGGAAGCAUUAUCACAGCCAGAAUCUUCAAAUACUAUUGAAGAGGAGGUUCUCUCCCUUGACCUUACAUAAGGAGAAGCUUCAGAAGGACAAAGUUCAAAGGAGUGCCCCUCAUCAUUGCCAUCCAUAGUCCCAUCUUCCACAUCACAGUCUGUAAGGCAACUGUCCUGGAGGUUGUAUGCUGCAUCCACUGACUCACUGAUGUCCUCAUGGUCCAUUCCUGAGAAUUCCAGUGGUGAGAACUGGCUCUCAGAUGAACUUGUCUGGUCACAGGAAAUCCCUACUGAAAAAGACCUGCUUCUUUGUGGUGAAGGAGCUAUGAUUUCAAUAUGUUCUUUUGUAGCGAAAGGAUCCAUUCUGCGUAUUUUAACUGAUGGUGCAUCCAUUGGGCUAGGAGAGCUGAGUGGCCAGUCUGUGCUAAAAGUGGGAGAAAUACAAAGGGGUAAGAGUGAAUAUAUAUUGAUUCAAGUACCUGAACUGCACCCUCUGUUUAAAAAGCUUCAACUGUAAUAAGGCCACUUACCAAAUGACAACAAAACAACAUACAAACUAAAUAAAAACAUGCAAUGUGAGAUACAGAAAAAAAAAAAAAAAAAAAAAAAAA
rnacentral:lncRNA from 1 species